AAAGGGAUUUUAUUCAAGGAUAUAGAGCCGCUUACCGACCCUCGGGAAGAGCUAGACAGCCGGGUUUGGACGUCACACGUCAGAACCAUAUCCAGAAAUCAUGGGGCUGGUCCUGUGAGGACACAAGAGCUUGUCAACACCAGCCUGGGCAUCACCUUUCCCACUGCCGACACCACAACCCUGGUGUCCCCAAGGGCAUGAAGCUGUCCCCACCCUCUCGAGCUCCUGGGUCAAAGCUCAGCACGAUGCUUCCAACCGCUGGGGCCCGGAUCCCAUGGCUGUACCCGAGCUGCAAAGGAUGCUGAGAAAGCCAGCCGCUGGCAUUUUCUGCCUUUCAUUCUGGAGGUGGUCUUGGCUCCCGAAAGACUCAUAAGGUGACACAGAACUAGAGUGGAAUGCUAAUACAUUCAAGGGAAAAAUCAGAAUCACAAAAGGUCUCUGAAAGUCUGAAUGAACCAGCCCAUAGGACAGGACAAAGUCUAUCAGGUCAGUGCCCUUACAACAGAGACUGCAGAGAGGUCCCUGCCCCACUGCCAGUGAGGACACAGUGACAGACGGCUGGCCAUGAACCAGAAGAUCGUUCUCAGCAAACACUGAAUCUGCCUGUGCCUUGAUCUCUGACUUCCAGCCUCCAGAACUGUGAGAAGUAAGUCUGUUGUUCAUAAGCCACCCAGACAGACUAAGGCAGCCCUUAAUUACCUCCUGAAAGGCCCUAUUCCAAAUACAGUCCCAUUGUGGGUGAGGGCAUCAACAGAUGAACCUUGUGUCGGGGGGGGGACAGUUCAGUCCCCAGCACUGAGGCCUAUUUUAGUUAGAAGUUUUGUGUGUGUCUGAGGAGCCCCAGUUUUCUGCUCAGC